AGAGCGAACGCUGGCGGCAGGCCUAAAACAUGCAAGUCGAACGAACCCUUCGGGGUUAGUGGCGGACGGGUGAGUAACACGUGGGAACGUGCCUUUUGGUUCGGAACAACUCAGGGAAACUUGAGCUAAUACCGAAUGUGCCCUUCGGGGGAAAGAUUUAUCGCCAUUAGAGCGGCCCGCGUCUGAUUAGCUAGUUGGUGAGGUAAAGGCUCACCAAGGCUACGAUCAGUAGCUGGUCUGAGAGGAUGAUCAGCCACACUGGGACUGAGACACGGCCCAGACUCCUACGGGAGGCAGCAGUUAGGAAUCUUGCGCAAUGGGCGAAAGCCUGACGCAGCCAUGCCGCGUGAAUGAUGAAGGUCUUAGGAUUGUAAAAUUCUUUCAGCGGGGACGAUAAUGACGGUACCGCAGAAGAAGCUCCGGCUAACUCGUGCCAGCAGCCGC
rnacentral:rRNA from 1 species